CUCUCUUCUUCCCGUGCUUUUCCCUCCUCUCUCCUCCUGGCCCCUUUUCUCCGGUAGCCUCUGCCUACUGCCUCCCGUCUCAGCCUCGGGAACGUCAGGGCAGCCGAAGGUGCAGGGCCUGGCCCCGGAGCCCGCCCGUCGGCCAAGGAUGGGAGCUACAGAAGCCUCAUUAGCAUCUCAAUUAAAGACCAGCCACAGACUCCUGGGGAACCCACAACCAGAAGCGGACAUCACUCAUCCCCACACAGAGCCAGUCCACGGAUUCAUCAGCUCUUGGGGUACUGUCUCCCUGCCUCUGUGUCUCUGAAUUGUCUCCACCUUUCCACAUGCCCAGACACCUCUAGAACACCAUUCUCACUUGAAUUCAAUCUUUAAACUGGCGACCUGUAAGCAGGGUGCUCAGCUCCCUAACUGUUUGAUCUCUGAGGUUCUGAGAAACUCCUCCCUGACUUUUCUGUUUGCUGGCUGGGCCUGAAACCCAAGUACUGGCUUAAGGCAGCAUGACAAAUAGUUUUCAU